rnacentral:rRNA from 1 species
UACCAGCACCCCGAGUGGUCGGGACGAUUAUUGGGCCUAAAGCAUCCGUAGCCGGUUCUACAAGUCUUCCGUUAAAUCCACCUGCUCAACAGAUGGGCUGCGGAGGAUACUAUAGAGCUAGGAGGCGGGAGAGGCAAGCGGUACUUAGUGGGUAGGGGUAAAAUCCGUUGAUCCAUUGAAGACCACCAGUGGCGAAGGGCG